UACGGAGGAUGCGAGUGUUAUCCGGAUUUAUUGGGUUUAAAGGGUGCGUAGGCGGGUUCUUAAGCGUGAGGUGAAAUGCUCCGGCUCAACCGGAGAACUGCCUCGCGAACUGGGAGUCUUGAAUGCCCCUGCCGUGGGAGGAAUGUGUGGUGUAGCGGUGAAAUGCACAGAGAUCACACAGAACACCGAUUGCGAAGGCAUCUUACGAAGGGGUGAUUGACGCUGAGGCACGAAAGCGUGGGGAUCAAAC
rnacentral:rRNA from 1 species